rnacentral:rRNA from 1 species
AUUGAACGCUGGCGGCAUGCUUUACACAUGCAAGUCGAACGGCAGCGCGGGCUUCGGCCUGGCGGCGAGUGGCGAACGGGUGAGUAAUACAUCGGAACGUGCCCAGUAGUGGGGGAUAGCUCGGCGAAAGCCGGAUUAAUACCGCAUACGACCUGAGGGUGAAAGCGGGGGAUCUUCGGACCUCGCGCUAUUGGAGCGGCCGAUGGCAGAUUAGCUAGUUGGUGGGGUAAAGGCCUACCAAGGCGACGAUCUGUAGCUGGUCUGAGAGGACAACCAGCCACACUGGGACUGAGACACGGCCCAGACUCCUACGGGAGGCAGCAGUGGGGAAUUUUGGACAAUGGGCGAAAGACUGAUCCAGCAAUGCCGCGUGUGUGAUGAAGGCCUUCGGGUUGUAAAGCACUUUUGGCGGGAACGAAAAGGACUGUGCCAAUACCACGGUUAGAUGACGGUACCCGCAGAAUAAGCACCGGCUAACUACGUG